GACGAACGCUGGCGGCGUGCCUAAUACAUGCAAGUUGAGCGAUGAAGAUUGGUGCUUGCCCCAAUUUGAAGAGCAGCGAACGGGUGAGUAACGCGUGGGGAAUCUGCCUUUGAGCGGGGGACAACAUUUGGAAACGAAUGCUAAUACCGCAUAACAACUUUAAACAUAAGUUUUAAGUUUGAAAGAUGCAAUUGCAUCACUCAAAGAUGAUCCCGCGUUGUAUUAGCUAGUUGGUGAGGUAAAGGCUCACCAAGGCGAUGAUACAUAGCCGACCUGAGAGGGUGAUCGGCCACAUUGGGACUGAGACACGGCCCAAACUCCUACGGGAGGCAGCAGUAGGGAAUCUUCGGCAAUGGACGAAGGUCUGACCGAGCAACGCCGCGUGAGUGAAGAAGGUUUUCGGAUCGUAAAACUCUGUUGGUAGAGAAGAACGUUGGUGAGAGUGGAAAGCUCAUCAAGUGACGGUAACUACCCAGAAAGGGACGGCUAACUACGUG
rnacentral:rRNA from 1 species